UGGCGAUUUGACGGUUCACAUUUUCACUCCCGCUUUCAUUAUUCAUUAUGAUCUCUGGUCACGGAUCAUCUUGGUACAGUCCGCAACACACAUGUCUCGGAAUAAAAUAUAAAUUACAUUUCAUUUCAUAUUAAGUGAUUAGGCAAGCACUAUAUGGCUUAAGUGAUUAGGUAAGUACUCUGAAUAGUAUGAAAGUAACAACUGCGACAUCGAAGUCGUAAUUCAAGAUCGUGGGCAGUGUUGUGUCUGUCGUCUAGUGUUCUUCUUGUGGGUAUGAACUGAUAGUACAAAAGUCUAAAAUGUUCACGAUUCCACCAAUGUGAACCACUUUAUAAAAUACAGUCGAAUGCCAAUUAUCCGGAUAAUGGAAAUAUAGAACAUUAAAAGUUAUAUGUAUAAUAUACGUUAUAAUGAUUGAUAAACUAAUACAAAGGUUAAUAUACCGACUGGGCAACUGAAAAAUACAUACCGACGCUACAGUGAUAGCUAAUAAUUAGUGUUCUACUUUAAUAAUUUAUGGAAUAAUUUUUAUGUAAUAAAGAUUAUACAUAAAUAUAUACUGAAACUGCGGAUAUAUAUUAUAAUCUACAAUUAUGUUUACGUGGAAUGACAAAAUAUGAUUACAAGUUAUUGAAAGACUUUUUGUUCGUUCGGAUAAUUUGUAUUCUGCUGUACUUAAAUGUAUACAUCAAACAAGAAAAUUAUAUCCUACCUAAACACAUAUAUGGAUGAAUCAACAAAAUCAAGGCUAGAUUAUGAUGGUACCAGGAAACACUUCAGAAAAUGAAGAUAAAUUAAAAAUUGAAUGAUGAAUAAUUGAAAAUACUGUACAAUUUUUUUUUAUAAAUGAAGAAUUAUGUGCCAUCAUUUGCAUCCAUGAAAUUGCUUUAAGCCACAGAUUGAAAACAAGGAUACAAAAAGCAAUAUUCCCAUAAUGCAUCAACUACAAGUUACAACUAUACACAAGACAAGGAGAUCGAAAAAAACAAGUUUGCUUUUACUGUCUUUUACUCUAAUUCUCAAUUACUCUUUCUAACUAAUUUUUAAAUGUCAUCAAUAAUUAAUCAUAUUAUUCUAACCUAGCAGCAACUUAAAUUUGACCCAGUACUAGUAUUCAGUAGAAAUAAAACAUUUAUAUGGUUUUUCUCCGGUAUUAAUUUAUGGAUCUUAAGGUGAGUUUUGCUAGCUUAUCAAAUCUCAUAUUAGGGUUUAUACCGGAGAAAAACAAUAAAAAUGAGUUUUUUAUUAGAAAUUGAUUUCUCAGACAUUAAAAAUUAAACAGAAGUAUAUCUUAAGCUCUAAAUUAAUUGAAUUAAAAAACAAAAAAUCAUUAGAAAUAUUGCUAUUUAUUAUAAAUAAAACAUUUGUAUGGUUUUUCCCCUAUGUGAAUCUGUGAUUCUUAUUAAGAACCAAGUUUUGCUACGAUUUCAAAAAUCAAAAUUUAAAAUAAGUAUACUAUUUUACCAAGAAGAUCUUUCUUUAUUUAUUAAAUAUUAAUAUAGUAACAAAAGUUUUAGUAAUAUUAAAGAAAAAAUAAUAGACUUUGAUAUUGAAAUAACUGAACCAGGUUUGCUUUUUAAAUUGCAUAGGAAUGAAAAUAGUAAAAAUAUGUUCUCCACUGACCAAUUUCUAUUGUUUUAUAAUAUUUAAAUCAACAUUUAAGCAUUCUAGAAGUCAUUUUUAUAGCCAUAAAACCUAUAAGAAUUAAACCCAACCUAUCAGAACUCAUAGCACUUCACUUAUUUCAUCAAAUAAUGAAAACAUUAUAACAGUUUUCUCAAGCAACAAAUUUAAGUCAACUUUAAAUCAUUUAACUUAAAAUCAUUUAAAUGGCUUUUUCCCGUAUAAGAUUUUGAUUCUUGAUGUAAAUUUUGCUAUGAUAUCAAACUUUCAUAAGAAUAUAUACGGGAGAAUAGCCAUUUAAAUGAAGUGUUAAUUAUAAAUAUUUAUCAUGAUUAAUCUCCUAAACCCAACCCAGUAGCAUUCAUAGUCCUCAACUAAUUAAUACAAAAAGCUGAAAUACAUUAUAAAUAAUUUUCUCAAGCAUCAACUUUUAAGUCAACAUAAUUAUAUUACUACCUGGGGUUACCCUGUAAUCACUCGGGCUGUCAUUCGAUUAGCGUAUGUUUUUUUUAUUUGAUUCGACAACAGUCUAACCAAUAUAACAUGUUUAAGAGGGAAUGAUCCAAAAGAUCGUUACAUAUAUUGUGAAAAUGGCAGAACUAUGAACUUGCAAUAUCAACUGUGACUAAAACAGUGGUCCACUGACUAUAAUAUAUUUAAUAUAUUCACAUAUCUUAUAAUCAUGGUGGUCAAUGCACCGUUAUAAUAAUAUGACCAUUUUAUGUAGUAGUUUGCAUAAAAUUGUUAAUAGUAUUAAACUUUUACUAAAAUUGAUCAAUUAAAAACAUAAUUAUAAGUCUGCCAUAAGGAAUUUCAUUGUUUUUUGUUUAUUCAUAAUCUAAAUUCUAAAAUGUAUAAAAUAAAACGAUUUAUGUUAAAAGGAAAAAACAAGGUCUAAAAUUUAGGGGUUCAUGACGUAUCGAAAGUUAUCUAGGUUGACCAUAGUAUCAAAAAAAUUUGAUACACAAAGACUAUGAUGUCUAUAUAAUUACAUUAGAAUUUAUAUGGACAGACGUGUAUAAUAUAAAUAUAUUAUGUAAUGUUAGAAAUAAAUAUUUUUCUCGACCAUAAACUUAAAUCCAACCCAAGAGUAGAUCAUUAUGAAUAUUUUCCUUGACUAUAAACUUAAGCCCAACACAGGAGUAUUUAUAGCCUUUAACGUACUAAACCCAUUAGCUGAAAAGUAGUAUAAAUAUUUUAUGAAAAAUACGUUUUUCUCAAUCACAAACUAUAAGUAAACAUACUUCUAUUUAUUUUAAAUAAAACAUUUAGACGGCCUUUCUCCCAUAUGAACUUUAUGUUCUAAGUGUCAAUUUUGCUAGGAUAUCAAACUUUCAUUAGAAUUUAUACGGAAAUGUAGCCGUGUAGAUGUAUUGUUGGCAAUAAAUAUUAUUGUUGAUUAUAAACCUAAACCUAACCUCACUAAUAUUCAUAGCCCUUAACUUAUUUCAUCUAAAAGCUAAAAUAUAUUCUAAUCAAUUUUCCCUUGUAUCAAAAUUAAGUCAACAUCCUACUAUUUAUUAUAAAUAAUUCAUUUAUAUGGCAUUUCUCCAGUAUGAAAUCUAGAUUCUAAAUGUAAAUUUUGCUAGGUUAUCAAACUUUCAUUAGAAUUUAUACUGGAGAUAUGCCAUAUGAAUGAAAUGUUAAUAAUAGGUAUGUGUCUUGACCAUAUACUUAAAUAAACCUAGCAGUAUUCAUAACCCUCAAUAUAUUUCAUUAAAAAGCUUAACAACAAUCUACGCACAUUUUUCAAGCAUAAAUCAGCCUUAUGAAUGAGUAGAUCAUUAUGAAUAUUUUCCUUGACUAUAAACUUAAGCCCAACACAGGAGUAUUUAUAGCCUUUAACGUACUAAACCCAUUAGCUGAAAAGUAUUAUCAAUAUUUUACGAUAAAUACGUUUUACUCAAUCACAAACUAUAAGUAAACAUACUUCUAUUUAUUUUAAAUAAAACAUUUAGACGGCCUCUCUCCCAUAUGAACUUUAUGUUCUAAGUGUCAGUUUUGCUAGGAUAUCCAACUUCCAAAAGAAUUUAUAUGGGAACAUAGCCGUGUAGAUGUAUUGUUGGCAAUAAAUAUUUUUGUUGACUAUAAACUUAAACCCAAUUUAGUGGUAUUCAUGGUCCAAAAAUAUUUCAUCAAAAUGCUAAAAUCAUUCCAAAAAUGUUUCAAUAUUCAUUUUUAAAUGAACAUAUGCUAUAUAUUAUGAAUAAAACAUUUAUACUGUUUCAUUUCCGUAUGAAAUUUAGGUUCUAUAUGUAAAUUUUGCUAGGGUAUCAAACUUCCAUUAGAAUUUAUACGGAAAUGUAGC